GCCGGGGGUGAUGGCGUGCGCCUGGUAGUCCCAGCUACUCGGGAGGCUGAGGUGGGAGGAUCGCUUGAGUCCAGGAGUUCUGGGCUGCAGUGCGCUAUGCCGAUCGGUGUCCGCACGAAGUUCGGCAUCAAUAUGGUGACCUUCCGGGAGCGGGGGACCACCAGGUUGCCUAAGGAGGGGUGAACUGGCCAGGUCGGAAACGGAGCAGGUCAAAACUCCCGUGCUGAUCAGUAGUGGGAUCGGGCCUGUGAAUAGCCACUGCACUCCAGCCUGGGCAAUAUAGUGAGACCCUGUCUCUA
rfam:Cavia porcellus supercont2_44 genomic scaffold, whole genome shotgun sequence.